AAAUGAAUAGACGGGGGCCCGCACAAGCAGUGGAGUAUGUGGAUUAAUUCGACGCAACGCGAAGAACCUUACCAGGUCUUGACAUCCCGCGCAUAGCAUGGAGACAUGUGAAAUCCUUCGGGACGCGGUGACAGGUGGUGCAUGGUUGUCGUCAGCUCGUGUCGUGAGAUGUUGGGUUAAGUCCCGCAACGAGCGCAACCCUUAUCGUUAGUUACUACGCAAGAGGACUCUAGCGAGACUGCCGUUGACAAAACGGAGGAAGGUGGGGAUGACGUCAAAUCAGCAUGCCCUUUAUGACCUGGGCUUCACACGUACUACAAUGGCCGUUAACAGAGAGAUGCGAUGCAGCGAUGCGGAGCCAAACUCAGAAAAACGGUCUCAGUUCGGAUCGGAGGCUGCAACCCGCCUCCGUGAAGCCGGAAUUGCUAGUAAUCGCGGAUCAGCAUGCCGCGGUGAAUACGUUCCCGGGCCUUGUACACACCGCCCGU
rnacentral:rRNA from 1 species